AUCCAGCUGACGAGUCCCACGUAGGAUGUAACGCGAGUCAAACUGGAU
rnacentral:hammerhead_ribozyme from 1 species